UUCGGAGGUCAGAGCUCGGCGGGGUGCGGCUAGUGGCGGAGCGCGCUGCGAGGGGAGGGCUUUCCACUGUCGCUGGCGUGAACUCGCGUGCCCGGUGGGUAUCAGGGAAGAACCCCCGCCCCGGACCCCCAGAUCUGCCAUGGCCGAGGUAGCGAUCGUCUCUGCGGCCACGAAGACUGUUUUAACUUGUACCACUUUCCCUUCCAUUUUUCCUGGGGUGCCUCUCACCCUGCAUCUGCGCGUUCAGCAAGCUGGAUUUCGGGAAUGCUCAGUUCAGAAGAGAAAAAAUUGCCGGGAAUCAAGUCCUUCUUUUUGUUAGUCGGUAGUCGAUUGAUGGGAAGUGUUCAAAAUCAUUCGAUGUGGUGACAAGGCUUCACCAGGUACUGCCUUCUAACGAGCUGGCCAUUUCCACAUGUCAGAUAGGACCAACUUGCCUUUUAACUACCCGUGUGAUACUUAAACACUGUUGCCGGUAUCACAGCUUUUCUUCAAAACAGGUAAUAUUAGGGACACUUGAAAUUUGGGAAUUAGAUUUACCUUUGCUGUUACUAAAUAAUUGUUAGAAUUUUAAAUGUCAUAUUCAUUUUACUCAACUAAUCUCUUUAGCUUUCCUAUUUAUAUUCCUACUUAUGAUUACGUGUAAUUCUCAUUGGAAGGAUUAAAAUAUUUUGAAAGUAAGACAGUAAAAUUGUGAAAUACUUUGGUAUUGGUUACAAAACAGUACUUAGGUACCUUCUUCCUGAUUUUUCUGUAUUUUUAAAAAAUAAGGCCAGGCACAGUGGCAAAUGCUUAUAUUCCCAACUGCCCAGUAAGCUGAAGCAAGAGAAUUGCUUGAGCCCAACCUGGGCAACAUAGUGAAACCCCAGUCACCAAUUAAAAACAAACAAACAAAAAGAGUAUAUUUUUUGAAGAUAUUUUAUCACAUAUACAGAAGCAAACAAAGAGGGGAAGGAAUUGUUUAAAAUAAUGUUAAGCUAAAUAAAGUCAAAGAAAAUUUAAGUAAUAGUUAAUAGUUAUUGUUAUAGAAGACAUCAAUUUACUACCCCGUUCUCAAAAAGGAAAAUCUGCAAGUAGACUGUAGUGCUAGAGUAAGCUUUUCCUUAAUUUCAGAAAGCCUGUAUUAAGCAUUUACUUUAUGCCAAACUCCAUUUUAGGGACUGGAAAUAUAAAAUAAAUAAAACACAGUCCCUGCUCUCAGUGAACUUGUUGUCUAGGGAAUGUUAAGUAGAACCACCUGAAAUUGCAUUGUUUUUGUAAGCCAGCUAUCGGUUCCACCUGACAUUAUAUGUGGAAACAGAAAUUUGCAAUAAUAAAGAUAUGACCACGGUGCUACGGGGCACUGACAAAAUGCUUCAUGCUGCCCAGGGCAGUCAGUGAAGGCUCCCCAGGGGAGAUGACGUUUGAGCCGAGUUUCAGAAGAUGAUUGGAGUUUACCACGUGUUCACAGGAAGCAACGAGAAUGAGGGCAUUCCAGUAGCAGGAGACAGCAUGCAUAGAGAUGCUGAUGAAGAAAGAGCCUAGCGCACGUGGGAAACUGCAAAAGUUCAGACUGGUUGGAAUGCUGGAAAUGUUGUGAAUGACAGGAGAUGAGGCUGGCGAGAAAACAGAGGUCAGAUUGUGGAAGGCUGUCAAGCCAAAGACUUUGAUUUUAUUCUUGAGAUUGAUGAGAUGUGUGUAAUCCAGGAGUGUGCAAAACAAUCUGUAAGGGUUCAGAAAACAUACUGCUUCUAUAUAUAGUUACCUUUGUCUUAACUUGAAAAUUUCAAAUUGUGUAGGAGUUACAAUGUGUGUAAUUGUUAUUAUAGUACUGGAUCCAAAUAAUUUAUAAAUAAAUAAAUAUAGACAUAAUAUGGUGUAUUACAGGUUAAAUUGUGUACCUCAAAAAUUCAUGUUUAAGUUCUAACCCUCAUUAUCUCAAACUGUGACCUUAUUUGGAAAUACUAUCAUUGCAGAUGCAAUAGUUAAUGAGGUCAAGUUAAGAAGCAAUAGGAGGCCAGGCAUGGUGGCUCACACCUGUAAUCGCAGCACUCUGGGGAGGCCAAGGUGGGUGGAUCACCUGAAGUCAGGAGAUCAAGAGCAACCUGGGCAACAUGGUGAAACUCCGUCUCUACUAAAAAUACACAAAUUAGGCUGGGCUUGAUGUCUCACACCUGUAAUCCCAGCACUUUGGGAGGCCAAGGCGGGCGGAUCACCUGAGGUCAGGAGUUCGAGACCAGCCUGGCCAACAUAGUGAAACCCCAUCUCUACUAAAAAUACAAAAAUUAUUUUGUAUUUUGGUGGCGGACACCUGUAAGUAAUCCCAGCUACUCGGGAGGGUGAGGCAGGAGAAUCGCUUAAACCUGGGAGGUGGAGUUUGCAGUGAACCAAGAUCACACCACUGCACUCCAGCUUAGG
ensembl:lncRNA APTR Alu-mediated CDKN1A/p21 transcriptional regulator